UAUUUAAGUAAUAAUAUAAUUCGAUAUACAUAUACAAAGCAACAAAUAAAUAAAAAAUCGAAGUCGUAGCAAUUUAUAAUAUGCGUGGCUAACAUCGAUAAAUAUUCGGUAAGGGUAUUAAAAGACGAACCACAACCAACAAUUCGAGCAACAAUGUAGCCGACUAAUGAAGACAUUCCAUUCUGUUGCCUUAUACUCGAUGAAGUAUUCAACUAUAAAAAAGAAAAAAGCCCGAAAACCGGUCCAUUCAAUCUUUAUUUUAGACACGACGGUAUACAUAUAUAUGUGUAUACAUACAUAUGUACAUGCAUAUGUAUAAAUGAAUGUACAGACACGUAUAUAUGUAUGUAUGUAUGCUUUAAUUUCAGCUUUUGUAUGCGUGCUGCCCGCUCACGGCGUGUGUUUUGUAUAAGGGUGUAUGACACGUGCUAAAUGUCCAGAAAAUAAUGCUUGCUUUUUAAAACUAAAUUGGAUGUACUUAUGUACAUAUGUAUGUAUAAUAA